CCGGCGCGCGCCUUCAUGUCGUCGGCCGAGCCGUCCGUCUCUAAGCGUUGUGGUCAUUCAUCCGCUUGCGAGCCGGCCGGGUCUGCGCCGUUAAACCCUUUAUCAAAGGUUGACCUCGGAUCGGGUAGGGAUACCCGCUGAACUUAAGCAUAUCAAUAAGCGGAGGAAAAGAAACCAACAGGGAUUGCCUCAGUAACGGCGAGUGAAGCGGCAACAGCUCAAAUUUGAAAUCUGGCGCAAGCCCGAGUUGUAAUUUGUAGAGGAUGCUUCUGGGUCGCGGCCGGUCUAAGUUCCUUGGAACAGGACGUCACAGAGGGUGAGAAUCCCGUAUGUGAUCGGCUUGCACCCUCCACGUAGCUCCUUCGACGAGUCGAGUUGUUUGGGAAUGCAGCUCUAAAUGGGAGGUAAAUGUCUUCUAAAGCUAAAUACCGGCCAGAGACCGAUAGCGCACAAGUAGAGUGAUCGAAAGAUGAAAAGCACUUUGGAAAGAGAGUUAAAAAGCACGUGAAAUUGUUGAAAGGGAAGCGCAUGCAACCAGACUUGUCGGCGGUGUUCCGCCGGUCUUCUGACCGGUCUACUCGCCGCCGACAGGCCAGCAUCGUCUGGGCGCGCCGGAGAAAGGCGCCGGGAAUGUAGCUCCUCGGAGUGUUAUAGCCCGGCGCACAAUACGGCGCCGCCCGGGCGAGGUCCGCG
rnacentral:rRNA from 1 species